ensembl:lincRNA 5330411O13Rik RIKEN cDNA 5330411O13 gene
AUAUCUGUACUGACCUCAAAGCAGUACAAAGCUCAGAGCAGUGAUUCUCAAGGUCAUAUCGGGUAUCCUGCAUAUCAGAUACUAACGUCACGAUUCAUCACAGCAGCAAAGUGAGUUAUGGUUGGGGGUCACCACAACAUGAGGAGCUGCAUGAGAGGGUCCCAUCAUUAGCAAGGUUGAGAAACACUGGCCGAGAGCUCAGUUGUUUGUUUGUGGGUUCGUUUCUCCCUAGCACCACCCUAACCGCCUUCGUCAGCCUGGGAGAACCAUCUGUCUACACAGCCUCGCUGUUAUCUCUCAGAGCCCGGUCAGAUCUCAUCAGCUCGUGGAUGUUGCACCAUCUAGCCUGUCUUCUAUCAGCACGCAUUUAAUAGCUUCCAGUUUUUUUUAUACUGAAAACAUUGCAAUGAACAUGCAUCUUGCUCACACGUGCAAAUAUUUUGCCAGGAUACAUGUUAGAAUUUGGCUGGUUAAAAUUUAGGUGAAUUUAUUAAAGUAUUGCUUUGUCUUAUGGGAAAUCUGGAUCAACCUAUUCUCCCAGCAUCAGUGGGCCAGGGCAGCCCAUGUCCCUGUCAGCACAGAAGCAGCAGGUGUGUCCGACCUUUAACAAUCGACUAGGCAGAAAUAGAUACUAAAGCACUUUCUAUCCAGCUGCUGUGCGCUUGUUUUUCCUCUUGAACACCCUGCUGAUAAUAGCUUUUACUUAGGUUUAGUUUUAUAUUGUUCAUAUUUUUCAAUUAUAAAUCUAUAAAACCUAAGUGUUAUUACUAUUGAAAUCAGCCCUUUGAUAAAGGUAUGUAUCAUUUGACUUUGUAUGACUUUCUGGUAUGCUUUGCCAUACAGAUAUUUUCCUUUGUAGGAAUUCAAUUUCAUAGGAUCUUCCUCCCUCUAAAAAAUGACAAACGGCAUCUCAGCUUGUCUCGUCUAGUCUGCAGCCCCGGCUCUCUCUGAUCGUGACACCGGCUCAUCCUCCCACGAGAAAAACUGCUGCCCUCAGGAGGACAGAUUCCAAACCUCUGAAUCUGCAACAAAAGCUUUCAAAGAGCAGCCUGAGGAGCCUGAGUUUGACCUCAUGAGCAGGCAUUCCCAGCCUUUCGACAUAGGGACGUGACAUCACGGUCUAUAGAGUUCAUACACACACAGAGCACCAUGCAAUAGAGAUCCAAGACAUAUCCUGGGUUUUAAGUUUGCAGUUUCGUGCUGGGUGGCGUUCAAGGCAUUGUUGAAGAACAUGCAGUUUCUCCAGGGUUCCAUAUUCAGCUUACAUCAUCUGAUUCCUGUUUUCCUGUAUUGGAUCACCUAUCUCAGGAGUUAAUCAGCUCCUGUUCAAAGUCAGCAGGGAGCGUCUGACAAAUCCAUUCCCACCUUAGCGAUUGAUUAGCCCUGGGCUUUAUAAGCAUAGGUCAUGCGAGGUUCUGGCCCUAUUAAAAUUUCUUCCAUUUAUUUCAAGGGGAGAGACAAUCUCUCCUCCAUUCACGUGACUUCUUGAUGUGACAGGUGAUAGUUCUACCCAGUUUAUCAUGUCAGUAAAAUGUCAUUUCUUG